CGGAAGCUUGGCCUGCAGAGGGUGACCGGCCACACUGGGACUGAGACACGGCCCAGACUCCUACGGGAGGCAGCAGUGGGGAAUAUUGCGCAAUGGGCGAAAGCCUGAUGCAGCGACGCCGCGUGAGGGAUGACGGCCUUCGGGUUGUAAACCUCUUUCAGCAGGGACGAAGCGCAAGUGACGGUACCUGCAAAAGAAGCGCCGGCUAACUACGUGCCAGCA
rnacentral:rRNA from 1 species